rnacentral:rRNA from 1 species
CCUACGGGGGCAGCAGUGGGGAAUAUUGGACAAUGGGCGAAAGCCUGAUCCAGCCAUGCCGCGUGUGUGAAGAAGGCCUUCGGGUUGUAAAGCACUUUCAGUGGGGAAGAAAGCCUUGGGGCUAAUACCCUCGAGGAAGGACAUCACCCACAGAAGAAGCACCGGCUAACUCCGUGCCAGCAGCCGCGGUAAUACGGAGGGUGCGAGCGUUAAUCGGAAUUACUGGGCGUAAAGCGUGCGUAGGCGGUCUGAUAAGCCGGUUGUGAAAGCCCCGGGCUCAACCUGGGAACGGCAUCCGGAACUGUCAGGCUAGAGUGCAGGAGAGGAAGGUAGAAUUCCCGGUGUAGCGGUGAAAUGCGUAGAGAUCGGGAGGAAUACCAGUGGCGAAGGCGGCCUUCUGGACUGACACUGACGCUGAGGUGCGAAAGCGUGGGUAGCAAACAGGAUUAGAUACCCCGGUAGUC